UGUAAAGCCGGCUCUGGAUGCCAUAUUAAUAUUAUGGAUCAGAUACACAAAUUGAGGCCAGUACUUUUCAUAAUAAACUUUUUAGGUCGUGACCAUAUAAAAACAAUCUUUCUUGAUUAGGACCAGCGUCAUAAGGAGGUUGGCUUGACAGAGCUAGAUCGAGGCCUCAAACCAUCUUUAAGAAAUGUCUACCAAGCACCUAAGCCUACUUCAUUGUCUCAUGGCAGUGAUGUCCCUUCUCUUUUGGUCAAGUACUCUUGGAGACGAUGAACAGACUGCUAUGCCGGCAACUGAACAAACUCCCAACAAAACCAAUGCAACGUCAAACACAAAGAUA
rnacentral:sRNA from 1 species